rnacentral:rRNA from 1 species
GAGUUUGAUCAUGGCUCAGAACGAACGCUGGCGGCAUGCCUAACACAUGCAAGUCGAACGAAGGCUUCGGCCUUAGUGGCGCACGGGUGCGUAACGCGUGGGAAUCUGCCCUUUGCUUCGGAAUAACAGUGGGAAACUACUGCUAAUACCGGAUGAUGUCUUCGGACCAAAGAUUUAUCGGCAAGGGAUGAGCCCGCGUAGGAUUAGGUAGUUGGUGGGGUAAAGGCCUACCAAGCCGACGAUCCUUAGCUGGUCUGAGAGGAUGAUCAGCCACACUGGGACUGAGACACGGCCCAGACUCCUACGGGAGGCAGCAGUGGGGAAUAUUGGACAAUGGGGGGAACCCGU